rnacentral:lncRNA from 1 species
GGGCCCUCCCUCCCUCGCGACUCCAGGUGCGCGGCGGUCCGUCCUCGCUCGGUAGCAGCUCUCGGGCUAGAGCUCAGCCCGAGGACGUCGCGAAGGUCCCCCGAGCGGCUGCUUACCGAGCCCCGCGGGGCGCAGCUCCCGGGCCCUGUGCGCAUGCGUGCUACCCCGACCUGUGCACCCAGGCAGGGACAGUUCCCAGAAGCCAGCAAGGGAAUUCUUGAUCUGGAGCUACAGAGGAGUUGUUCUAUGACAACAGUCCAGCCUCUGAAGUAACAUUUCAUGAAGAGCUUUGGAAGUACUGGAGUGGAGUGGAGAGAUCUUGUAAGAGGGAUUGAACUUGGGACCUUGCGCUUUCAAGGCAGGUGUUGGAACCACUGAGCUAAAUCUCCGGCCCAUGUUGGUAAGUUUUUUUUAUGACAUUUUCAAUUUCACUCAUCAUUAUUGGGGUGUAUAGAAUUUCUAUAUCUUCUUCAUUUAAUUUUGGCAAUUCCUAUGUAUCUAGGAAUCUGACCAUUUCUUCUUUGUUUUCCAUUUUAUUAGAGUACAGGUUCUCAAAGUAGGUAUUGAUGAUUCUCUGGAUUUCCACUGGAUUUGUUGUGGCUUCACCUUUUUCAUUCUUUUUUUUCUUUAUUAAAGUCAUUUAUUGGUACAUUGUAGGUAUG